rnacentral:lncRNA from 1 species
CCUUGUCAUUCGGGCUCUGUUCAUCGUAGAAGCUUCCAACAACUUUGGAAAGACUGUCGACAUCUACUACGUCACCGUGUAUUCAAUAGGAAACGACUUGAAGAGAGCCCAUGCAUCCAGAUUUCCACUUCCUGUAUACUGACCCGUUCAGUGGAGAGAGACAUGGGGGCUGCGGGAGGCGCGAAGCGUCGCACAGAGCGGUGAAGUCAAGAUAAAACUAAAAGAGUAACGCAUGAUUCCUCAGAACAGCUGACACACCCAUAAAGUGCUAUAAUUGAAAAUGUAAAUGAGGAGGUGGAUGAAGACAUGCGAGUGCUCGGGCCCUUGCUCUGCUCAUCUGUCUGCGAGGCGCUACCUGGAUUGUGGAUUCUAAGGAUUUCCCUAAUUUCCAUCUUUGGAAACUAGGAGCACACCACUUCUUUGGUUCAGCUGCUGACUUUAGCUCAGUGGAAGGAAGCCCCGAUGAGAA